AUUAAACGCUGGCGGCAUGCCUUACACAUGCAAGUCGAACGGCAGCACGGGGCAACCUGGUGGCGAGUGGCGAACGGGUGAGUAAAGCAUCGGAACGUGCCCUGGAGUGGGGGAUAACGUAGCGAAAGUUACGCUAAUACCGCAUAUUCUGUGAGCAGGAAAGCAGGGGAUCGCAAGACCUUGCGCUCUGGGAGCGGCCGAUGUCGGAUUAGCUAGUUGGUGGGGUAAAGGCCUACCAAGGCGACGAUCCGUAGCGGGUCUGAGAGGAUGAUCCGCCACACUGGGACUGAGACACGGCCCAGACUCCUACGGGAGGCAGCAGUGGGGAAUUUUGGACAAUGGGCGCAAGCCUGAUCCAGCCAUGCCGCGUGAGUGAAGAAGGCCUUCGGGUUGUAAAGCUCUUUCGGCCGGGAAGAAAUCGCGUGGGUUAAUACCCUGUGUGGAUGACGGUACCGGAAUAAGAAGCACCGGCUAACUACGUG
rnacentral:rRNA from 1 species